AGUCACUGACAUUAGAUACCCCUGUAGUCCCAGCCGUAAACGAUGCUCGCUAGGUGUCAGGCAUGGCGUGACCGUUGUCGGUGCCGUAGGGAAGCCGUGAAGCGAGCCACCUGGGAAGUACGGCCGCAAGGCUGAAACUUAAAGGAAUUGGCGGGGGAGCACAACAACGGGUGGAGCUUGCGGUUUAAUUGGAUUCAACGCCGGAAAUCUUACCGGGACCGACAGCAACAUGGAGGCCAAGCUGAAGACUUUGCCGGAUUAGCUG
rnacentral:rRNA from 1 species